UUUAGUAUUCUUAUUCACAACUAUUCUGACUUAUUAAUAUAUAUAUAUAUAUAUAUAUAUAUAUAUAUAUAUCAAUAUAUCAUGUUAUAAAAAAGUAAAUAAAAAAUAAUUAGUGAGCGAAUUAAAAUCGGAAAGAUAUUAAAAUACAAGACAUGAACAAAUUAACCCAAAUAAAUUUGUAGAAAACCAUUACCGGUUUACCACGCAACAAACCUAAGAUUGGUCAUAUACCAACUAAAUAAAGUGAAAAACGUUAUUUUCUGUAUGCACGACCCUACACUUGUCUUAAAUUUAAGAAGGUUUUGUUUAGGACUAAUACAAUCUCCACUUUAUUGAGUUUACCAAAAAUGAAGGCCACUGAGAACACAAGAGGAGAUGACAACAUCAAGAUGUGCUAGAGGUAAAGCCAGCGCCUCGAGCAGGACAAUUCAGAUGGCUAACACCAACACCAAUUACUUCCUGAGCUUUAUGUACGGAAAUGAAUCAGUAUUUGAGGAUCGUGUAUUCGCUUCUCGUUAAUCCGACUUUAAGUUAUUGGUUUCCAAGCUAUAUGGUUCAAAAUUAUGGAAGGUUACAGUUUUCAGUUUGAGUCAACUCUUAACAAUUUAGGAGAGAAUUUGAAGGCCCUGUUCUUUUUCCAGACGCUGCGAUCAAAUCCAGCGACCAAAAAAACAGUUGUUUAACACACAAUUACGUUGAAGUCUAUAGAAAGUUAUGUGGAGAGGAAUCACUCGAUUCUAAAAACAGCGACCUAUAAGGCAUAUACACGUGUUGCCAAAAAUAACAGCGACUCAACAUCUUCACUAGAGACGUCGCCGGCGUCCAUAUUGAGCGACUGUUUUUGUAUCUCUGUUAAAAAAUUUGUCUUCGUCGGAGUCGUUGUCGCUGUCGCAGCGAUUAAUAAACGAACAUGCCCGAAGUUACAGAGAACAACACCACACACUAUUUGUAAAAUUAUGAAGCAAA
rnacentral:sRNA from 1 species